GUCAUGGCCAGACAAUUUGGGAUGUUUGAAGUCCCUCAAUAAGCUGACAAUUAGUUCUUGUAAUAAUUUGAUCGGUGCAUCAUCACAAGGCGACCAUGGUCCACCAUUUCUAAAGGAUCUUCAUGUUUCUGGCUGUGCUGCCCUGAGAGAAUUGCCCACGUGCCCCAAAUCACUCCAAUCCUUGAGUAUUGACAAUUGUCCACUAAUGGAGUCUUUGUGGCCAGAAGUGGGACACCUUACUUCACUAUCCAGGUUAGAAGUGUCUCUUUGUCCCAAGCUGGUGUCUCUAUCAGACGAGAUGCAAGCCCUCACUUCCCUUCAGUAUCUAUCUAUUGCGUAUUGCCCGGCACUGAAGUCAUUCCCAGAAGGCCUCCAACAACUACUUCCUACUCUAAAAUCACUAACAAUCCAAGGAUGCCCGAAGCUAGAGAGGUUAUGCAAGCCUGGAGGAGCCUAUUACGACCUUUUCUCUACCAUCUUAGAUAAACGAAUAGAAGAACAGCCAAAACAGCUAGAUAGGUUACCCAGGCUACAUGGAGGAGAAGACUAUGACAAUCAUCUGUCUACCAUCUCAGAUGAAGGUAUAGGAGCACCGCCAGAACAGACAGUCCAAGUUCCUCAUGUGAUUAUUACUGGUGCCAAACAAGCUCUGAAGUGCAUUGCCACAAAGUGCUUCCUUCUAUUAGCGGUUUUGAUUUGUGUUAUUGCCUGUUUCAUUUUCUACGAACUUGAUAGCCAGUAUGAGCAAGAGUUUUGGUAUAUCUCCCCAACAUGAACACAAAAAGCUCAGGGAGUCUGAAAUCAGAAUGCAAUGGAGGCAUAUUAUUUCCAAGUAUCAGUUCAAUUAGCAAGUUUAAUUCUUGGUGUCUGAUUUGUGAAUAUGUUCUUUAUAUUACUUCCUCAAGAUGAAUCAAUACUCAAAUGAAAGCAUCCCAAAUCUCUACCGGAAAAGGCAAGGUGUUCUUAAUUAACAGCUCAUAAAAAUCUACUUUUGUUAACUAGACCUUUGUUUCCAAUUAUUUAUAACCACUUGAUGCAGGAUUGAUUCAUCUUUGCAAUCAAUGUACAUAAACUAUUGUGGUGUUUACACUUGAUGUGGUUCCCAUUUAUAUAACUUCUUUUAGUUGAUCUGAUUAUCCAUCAGUCAGUAUACUCCUAUGAGUGGAAUAGUAUUCAUAUUUAUAAGUCAUUGGAUUGAGGCAAGCGUUCAAAUCCUUAUCCACCCCGCAUUUCAUAAGAGCAACUCAAUUGUGGCAACUGCAAACUGCAUUCCUCAACAAAUCCUUCUCCCAAGACCAAAAUGGGCUAACCUCAGAAUCAUGUCAUCAGAACAAUCUCUCUGGAAGCAGCAAUGGAUUUGAAGGAUGUUGUCUUACCAGUUCUUUCACUUCGGACACAAGGCCUCACUUCCCUUCAUACUUUGUUUAUUGAAGGUUGUCUAGACCUGAAGUCUUUUCCAGAAGACCUUGAACCGCUUCUUCCUUAUCUCAAAAAAAUGAGAAUAUGUGAAUGCCCAAUCUGGAGAGGAGGCUAUGCAAGCUUAGAGGAGAUUAUUACCACAAUCUCUCAACCAUCUCAUGUCGAGUAAAAGGAGAACAAGUUGUGAAGCGCAUCAUCACAAAUCCUAAUACCAAGGCACCACUAUUUUCCAGAUUCUUUUCUUUUUUUAUUUUUUAAAAUACCCUUUCUUUAGUUUGUUGAACAUAUAUUUUGUCAUAUUUUUGGUAUUCUUGUCAGUGUUGACUGAAGCCCCUCUCUGGAAAAUUUGAAUUGAGAGAAUGGAGGAAAAAAUGGCAGAGAUAUUUUCCUACACUUCAUUGGAUGUACAAGAGAAAGAUGCAUCUUUGCAAUUAAUGUACAAAAGCUCCUGUGGUGUGCCACAUGAUGGUUCUCAAUGAUAGAACUUCCCUUGAGUGUUUUAAUCCUUUUAUCCUGUGGGUGGAAUCAUUUUAGUACUUAUUAGUUAUCGAAACUGAGAGUAAAUUCAACUGUGGCAACUGGAAACUGCAUUCCUCCACAAGUUCUUCGGUCAACACCAAAUGAAAUAUACUCGAAAUCAUGUCCUCGGAAAUCUAAAUCUCUGUUCACAAAUUUAUCAGCCCUACUACAACUCAGUGUCCUUGAUGUUGUCAAGCACAUCUUAUGGCAUCUUCCUUGUCAACAUAGAACUUUUUUUGCCCAUCGUCUUUGCCUUGUCUUGCAACUUCUUGGUUACUUUUGGAUUCCAAACGAGCACUGCCAGAGCCCACUCCAAGAAUAUGCAUCAGGUAGUUGUUCCAACAACAAACAUGUUCUGCAAAAAUGGUGGAGAAUUACUACAUUGAAGAUCAACUAAUUAUCUGUGUAUAUAGGAGGUUUUUGAUACAAUUGACUUUGUUUUGUGAAGGGACCGACCAAAGUUCAUUUUUAGAGAAGACGAUAUGCACCUGAUUCGUGUAUCUCUUUGUGCAAGAAUUUAGAGUUUCUUAUUCAUUGAUUGUUUGAAUGUGCAAUCAAUUCUCAGCAAAUAACCCUGGGAUGAUCAAAACUUGACAUGUUGAAGAACUAAAGGAUUCGUGAAAUGCUUUUUA